CCUACGGGUGGCAGCAGUGAGGAAUAUUGGUCAAUGGGCGCAAGCCUGAACCAGCCAAGUCGCGUGAGGGAAGAAGGCCCUACGGGUUGUAAACCUCUUUUGCCGGGGAGCAAGACUGAGGACGUGUGCCCAGGCGGAGAGUACCCGGAGAAAAAGCAUCGGCUAACUACGUGCCAGCAGCCGCGGUAAUACGGAGGAUGCGAGCGUUAUCCGGAUUUAUUGGGUUUAAAGGGUGCGCAAGCGGGCGGUUAAGCCGGCGGUAAAAAUUCAGGGCUCAACCUUGUCGGGCCGUCGCAACUGGGAGCCUUGAGUGGGCGAGAAGUAUGCGGAAUGCGUGGUGUAGCGGUGAAAUGCAUAGAUAUCACGCAGAACGCCGAUUGCGAAGGCAGCAUACCGGCGCCCUACUGACGCUGAGGCACGAAAGCGUGGGGAUCGAACAGGAUUAGAUACCCCUGUAGUC
rnacentral:rRNA from 1 species